rnacentral:rRNA from 1 species
UCGAACGAGAAAGUGGUAGCAAUACCAUGAGUACAGUGGCGUACGGGUGAGUAACACGUGGGGAUCUACCUUUUGGUGGGGGAUAACUCUGGGAAACCGGAGCUAAUACCGCAUAAGCAGGGGACUGGAAAGCCGAAAGGCGCCGGAAGAGGAGCCCGCGGCCGAUUAGCUGGUUGGUGAGGUAACGGCUCACCAAGGCUGAGAUCGGUAGCCGGCCUGAGAGGGCACACGGCCACACUGGCACUGAAACACGGGCCAGACUCCUACGGGAGGCAGCAGUGGGGAAUCUUGCACAAUGGGGGCAACCCUGAUGCAGCGACGCCGCGUGAGCGAUGAAGCCCUUCGGGGUGUAAAGCUCUUUCGACCGGAACGAUAAUGACGGUACCGGGAGAAGAAGCUGCGGCUAACUACGUGCCAGCAGCCGCGGUAAUACGUAGGCAGCAAGCGUUGUUCGGAGUUACUGGGCGUAAAGAGUGCGUAGGCGGUGGCCUAAGUUCGGUGUGAAAUCUCCCGGCUUAACUGGGAGGGUGCGCCGGAAACUGGGCUGCUGGAGUGUGGGAAAGGCAAGCGGAAUUCCUGGUGUAGCGGUGAAAUGCGUAGAUAUCAGGAGGAACACCGGCGGUGUAGACGGCUUGCUAGACCAUAACUGACGCUGAGGCACGAAAGCGUGGGUAGCAAACAGGAUUAGAUACCCUGGUAGUCCACGCCCUAAACGAUGCAUACUUGGUGUGGGCAGUUCAUUCUGUCCGUGCCGGAGCUAACGCGUUAAGUAUGCCGCCUG